AAAAUUUUAGUUUAUAUAAAAUAUUUCAUUUACAAUGAAAAGAAUCAGUUAAGAAAAUUUUA
rnacentral:tRNA from 1 species